CUCUUGUUUGCCCCUCCCAGCUUCCCACACCUGUCUUAAGUUGUGUAUCAGGCCUGAUUGUGCUGUUCUCUCCUCAGUGUUUCCCUCAGCCAGUCCUCUGUUCUCCAGUCUGGCGUUCCAGCCCCUUCCCCAGCUGCAGUCCAUUGAGCUCUCAGGGCCAAGGUGGGCUUAGACUACACUCAGUCUGCCCGGAGACCUCUUAAUGCAGUGAUGUUUUGUGAUGCCAGUGGACAAAGACAGGGCUGAUGGAUUCACAGCAGCACCUCUCCACAGCCUCUUCUGGUUCAGUAAAGCGCGUUGGUUUAACAAGUUCAUGACAUCCGUUGUUCAAGGAUUUAAUGCCCCAGGGGAGGCAAUAGACAUAUGUACAAAAAAUGUUCCAACUCCCUCUGGCUGCUUACUUCCCUUGACUUUCCUGCAUUGUUCAGUGCCGCACUGGCAAUGAAGAGUGAGGAGUCUUCAAGAUCUGCCACCCCGACCCACUUCCAACCACGAGCAGCCCCACGCCCAGUGCAGCCCCACCUUCAUUAAUGCUCUUGGCUUUGCUGGCAGCUUUUCCCUUCAUGGGCCCUAUUUAGAAUAAUGCUGAUGUGAGAAAAUUUGACAAUUAGCACUUCUGCUGUUUUAGUAACUGCACAGCAGUAACAGUGAGUUCAUAUUUCCUUCACCAGCUGAAUAAGAGGGUGGAGACGCUGAAAAGGCCCUCGAGAGGACUUGAUAGAGAUGGCUCAUGCACAAUUAUGUUAUCCCAGUGGCCUUUCUCAGCAGCUUGUUUUUCAUAUGAGCAAAUUGUUGAGCUCUUAAUAAUUAUAUACUGUGAAUAGCACCCACUCUUUUUGCAGUGCAAAUAAGGUCUGGCCAGGUCAGCAAAGAACUAUUGACAAAAGCGUUCAAUUAUCUGGCAGGGUGAAUGUAUGUGCUCAGCGCUGGCUGGAAGAAUGAGCCAUGUCCUUUUUUGAAGAGACAUCUGUCAUAAGUAGGCAUCUAAAGCUGAGUCUGUUUCCUGUGUCUCGAUGCACUGUCUGCUUGCUGUGCGCACGGAAAUGAUGUUUCUGACAACGAGAAUUUAUGUGCAGUAAUUUAAAAUGAUCGCAUAUAAAGGUUUAUUACAGUGGUGUGCUAAAUGCUAAAACUCUUGGGUACCCUGUGACAAAAGAGAUUUACAUGUUAUUACCAAAUUAGUCCAAUAUAUUCAGUUGGUUCUCAGCAGUUGUUGGUGUGAGGGGGAAAAAAAUUAAAUAAAUAAAUGAAGACCAUAAAAGCUUUCUGGUGUGCAAAUGUUUUGGAAUGAGUUACCUGAUUUGAGUUACUGUGUUUUGUUUAUUUAUUUAUUUUUUGGGAUGAUCACAAAAUUGUGAGUAGUGAUUGUGGUGAACUCCUCAUAAAUAC